UGCAGUCGAGCGGACAGAUGGGAGCUUGCUCCCUGAUGUUAGCGGCGGACGGGUGAGUAACACGUGGGUAACCUGCCUGUAAGACUGGGAUAACUCCGGGAAACCGGGGCUAAUACCGGAUGGUUGUUUGAACCGCAUGGUUCAGACAUAAAAGGUGGCUUCGGCUACCACUUACAGAUGGACCCGCGGCGCAUUAGCUAGUUGGUGAGGUAACGGCUCACCAAGGCGACGAUGCGUAGCCGACCUGAGAGGGUGAUCGGCCACACUGGGACUGAGACACGGCCCAGACUCCUACGGGAGGCAGCAGUAGGGAAUCUUCCGCAAUGGACGAAAGUCUGACGGAGCAACGCCGCGUGAGUGAUGAAGGUUUUCGGAUCGUAAAGCUCUGUUGUUAGGGAAGAACAAGUGCCGUUCAAAUAGGGCGGCACCUUGACGGUACCUAACCAGAAAGCCACGGCUAACUACGUGCCAGCAGCCGCGGUAAUACGUAGGUGGCAAGCGUUGUCCGGAAUUAUUGGGCGUAAAGGGCUCGCAGGCGGUUUCUUAAGUCUGAUGUGAAAGCCCCCGGCUCAACCGGGGAGGGUCAUUGGAAACUGGGGAACUUGAGUGCAGAAGAGGAGAGUGGAAUUCCACGUGUAGCGGUGAAAUGCGUAGAGAUGUGGAGGAACACCAGUGGCGAAGGCGACUCUCUGGUCUGUAACUGACGCUGAGGAGCGAAAGCGUGGGGAGCGAACAGGAUUAGAUACCCUGGUAGUCCACGCCGUAAACGAUGAGUGCUAAGUGUUUAGGGGGUUUCCGCCCCUUAGUGCUGCAGCUAACGCAUUAAGCACUCCGCCUGGGGAGUACGGUCGCAAGACUGAAACUCANGGAAUUGACGGGGGCCCGCACAAGCGGUGGAGCAUG
rnacentral:rRNA from 1 species